AGAACGAACGCUGGCGGCAUGCCUAAUACAUGCAAGUCGAACGAAGGCUUCGGCCUUAGUGGCGCACGGGUGCGUAACGCGUGGGAAUCUGCCCCUUGGUUCGGAAUAACAGUUGGAAACGACUGCUAAUACCGGAUGAUGACGAAAGUCCAAAGAUUUAUCGCCAAGGGAUGAGCCCGCGUAGGAUUAGCUAGUUGGUGAGGUAAAGGCUCACCAAGGCGACGAUCCUUAGCUGGUCUGAGAGGAUGAUCAGCCGCACUGGGACUGAGACACGGCCCAGACUCCUACGGGAGGCAGCAGUAGGGAAUAUUGGACAAUGGGCGAAAGCCUGAUCCAGCAAUGCGCGUGAGUGAUGAAGGCCUUAGGGUUGUAAAGGUCUCGUUUUACCCGAGAAUGAUAAUGACAGUAAGUCGGGAAGAAAUAACGCCCCGGUACUAAACCUCCGUGCCCAGCCACGGCCGC
rnacentral:rRNA from 1 species